UAAUACGUAGGGUGCAAGCGUUAAUCGGAAUUACUGGGCGUAAAGCGUGCGCAGGCGGCUUUGCAAGACAGAUGUGAAAUCCCCGGGCUCAACCUGGGAACUGCAUUUGUGACUGCAUCGCUAGAGUGCGGCAGAGGGGGAUGGAAUUCCGCGUGUAGCAGUGAAAUGCGUAGAUAUGCGGAGGAACACCGAUGGCGAAGGCAAUCCCCUGGGCCUGCACUGACGCUCAUGCACGAAAGCGUGGGGAGCAAACAGGAUUAGAUACCCUGGUAGUCCACGCCCUAAACGAUGUCAACUGGUUGUUGGACGGCUUGCUGUUCAGUAACGAAGCUAACGCGUGAAGUUGACCGCCUGGGGAGUACGGCCGCAAGGUUGAAACUUAAAUGAAUUGACGG
rnacentral:rRNA from 1 species